UUUAAAGAUAGCGUAACAGCUCACUGGUCUAAACAAGUUGUCCUGCGGCGAAGAUGUAACGGGGCUCAAGCCAUGAGCCGAAGUCUAGGAUGCAAUUUAUUGCAUGGUAGCAGAGCGUAGUGUGACAUAAUUCCAUGCGUCCUUAAUCCCUUCGGGGAUAUUGGACGCAAGGAAUUUUCUGUGAAGCCGGCCUGUGAGGGAUCCGGUGGAGAGAUCACUAGUGAGAAUGAUGACAUGAGUAGCGACAAAGAGUGUGAGAGACACUCUCGCCGAAAGUCCAAGGGUUCCUGCUUAAAGCUAAUCUGAGCAGGGUAAGCCGGCCCCUAAGUCGAGGCAGAAAUGUGUAGACGAUGGGAA
rnacentral:rRNA from 1 species